UUAGUGGCGGACGGGUGAGUAACGCGUGGGUAACCUGCCAUAUACAGGGGGAUAACACUUAGAAAUAGGUGCUAAUACCGCAUAAGCGCACGGCUCCGCAUGGGGCAGUGUGAAAAACUCCGGUGGUAUACGAUGGAUCCGCGUCUGAUUAGCUAGUUGGCGGGGUAACGGCCCACCAAGGCAGCGAUCAGUAGCCGGCCUGAGAGGGUGGACGGCCACAUUGGGACUGAGACACGGCCCAAACUCCUACGGGAGGCAGCAGUGGGGAAUAUUGCACAAUGGGGGAAACCCUGAUGCAGCGACGCCGCGUGAGUGAAGAAGUAUCUCGGUACGUAAAGCUCUAUCAGCAGGGAAGAAAAUGACGGUACCUGACCAAGAAGCCCCGGCUAACUACGUGCCAGCAGCCGCGGUAAUACGUAGGGGGCAAGCGUUAUCCGGAUUUACUGGGUGUAAAGGGAGCGUAGACGGCAGCACAAGUCUGGAGUGAAAUCCCGGGGCUUAACCCCGGAACUGCUUUGGAAACUGUGCGGCUGGAGUGCAGGAGGGGUAAGCGGAAUUCCUAGUGUAGCGGUGAAAUGCGUAGAUAUUAGGAGGAACACCGGUGGCGAAGGCGGCUUACUGGACUGUAACUGACGUUGAGGCUCGAAAGCGUGGGGAGCAAACAGGAUUAGAUACCCUGGUAGUCCACGCCGUAAACGAUGAUUACUAGGUGUCGGGGGACCAAGGUCCUCCGGUGCCGGCGCAAACGCAUUAAGUAAUCCACCUG
rnacentral:rRNA from 1 species